AUUGAACGCUGGCGGCAGGCCUAACACAUGCAAGUCGAGCGAGCGGCGGACGGGCGGUUAAUGACCGGGAAACUGCCCGAUGGAGGGGGACAACUAAUGGAAACUGAAGCCAAAACCGCAUACCAUCAGAUGUGCCCAGAUGGGAUUAGCUAGUGGGAGGGGUAAUGGCUCACCUAGGCGACGAUCCCUAGCUGGUCUGAGAGGAUGACCAGCCACACUGGAACGGAGACACGGUCCAGACUCCUACGGGAGGCAGCAGUGGGGAAUAUUGCACAAUGGGCGCAAGCCUGAUGCAGCCAUGCCGCGUGUGUGAAGAAGGCCUUCGGGUUGUAAAGCACUUUCAGCGAGGAGGCGUUACUCGCAGAAGAAGCACCGGCUAACUCCGUGCCAGCAGCCGCGGUAAUUC
rnacentral:rRNA from 1 species